UACGAGAGGCCCAAACGUUUAUUCGGAAUUACUGGGCUUAAAGAGUUCGUAGGCGGCGCAGAAAAGUAGGGUGUGAAAGCCCUCGGCUCAACCGAGGAAUUGCGCUCUAAACUACUGUGCUUGAGGAAUCUAGAGGUGAGCGGAACUGAUGGUGGAGCGGUGAAAUGCGUUGAUAUCAUCAGGAACACCGGAGGCGAAGGCGGCUCACUGGGGGAUUUUUCUGACGCUGAGGAACGAAAGCCAGGGGAGCGAACGGGG
rnacentral:rRNA from 1 species